AUACCUAGAACCUGAACUUCCCGAGCUAGCUCAGCCAGCCUGACUUUGUUCUCUCUGUCUGUAGGCUUGGGACUCUUAUUUAAGCUCAAAACAAGAGGUAUGGCUCUUUUCUGGGGUGCCUUGUGCCCUUUACUGGACUGCUUUGUUGGUGAAGACUUUUAAAGACCCCCAACCACCAGCCUAUUCUGCCCUUCUUGAGUGCUGUGGUCAUUUCUGCCUCCUGGAUUACUGACCUCAGGAUGUGCGUGGCCUUGCUCCUGCUCCUCGAACAGUCGAAUUUCCAGAUCUGAGGAGAAGAUGAUGAGAGAAGUGAUAAUGAAAGCUGCUGGUAUAAUAUGUAACCAUGUAUGAAACAAAAGAAUGUUGUCUAUUCUAACAAAAUAAGGUUGCCCAAACCUCCAAGGUUGAAAAAGCUGCCUGAAAUACCCAACGUGGUAGUCACCUAAGCUGAGAUUUAUGACCUCUUUUUGGGCAGAUGGGACACCCUGGCUCUCAAUGUGCUGCAUUUGCCCAUGAAGAAAUGUCCUCGGAAUACCUGUUGCAUGAUGGUUUUUUUCCUAGAGUUUUGCUAGCCUGUCUAAUCCAAGUGUCAGACUCUAGGAAAAAAGGUGCGACAAAUCUUGUGGAAGCUGCUACAGAAAUAGAAACUGUCUUCACUAAGCUUUUUAAGCCACUGUUAGUGGCAGAUUUCUUGGCAGAUUUUUCUAACCACUGGCCAAAAAUUAUCUCACUGAGCAUGUAAUAGUAAUUUCUUAUUGUAAAUCCUUUCUGCACUGUAGGCACCAAACGCUGAAAUUGCUGAAUUCGUGUUUCCAAUGGUUUUGGAGGAAGAAAGUCUAAAAAAUAAUCACAGUACAUUAAUGAGAGCCUACUCCACACAGUCAGGGAAAGAAAUAAAAGUGAUUUUAGUGUCUUAAAAAGCAAUAUCCAUUAGACUCAGAUUUGGCUAAAAGUGGACUGAAAGGCUCUUAUUUCAACAAGAUGUACAGGCUCAGGGGAAAAAAACAAGUUAAAUGCUUCUGACAUUGUAAUUGAUUUUAUGUGGUACAUUUAUGAGACUUUCAAUUCAUGUUCCAUAUGGGAUUUAGCACUGAGAUGUUAUUGCAACUUCUGAGACGGUUAUGUUGUCGUUUUGAAGGAACAAUUUGGUGGUUCCUCUGUUCCCAGAAAAAGUACUGACUAGGGUUCAAUGUUUACUCCUUACCACAGAGAAACACUUUAAACUGGAGACUGUUUUCUCACAGAUGGGAGAACACAUAGCACAUCUUGGGAACUUGAGUGCCACAGGAUGCUGUAGCGAGCCUCACGUUGGCAGGGAGAGGGUAAUCCACUGUCUGGGAGAGGCUGUAAUAUUGAGACUGCAAUCCAAGCAUAAAGCAAUGUGGUCACUAUAUGAGAUGGAGAUUUAAUGGAUAUUGUUCAUGGUGUUGGAAUAUAUGAAGCAAUAAAUUGCUUUUCUGGAUGAUUUAAUGCUGAAGCAAGGUUGAAGACUUAGGUAACUGCACAUGGUUUACUGCAAAUACUAGCUUUACAGAGGUAAAUAUAAAACCUAAUAGACAACACAAAAGGGACAGAAAAACAAGCAAACCCCAAAAACUUUUAAUCAAAGCAAUAUUCCAAGGUUCAAAGUCAAGCUCUCAGAAGUUGAGAAAUACCAUAUUUAAGGUAACCUAUCUAAAUUACAUGCCCUGGGAAUGUGUGUGUAUUUGUGUGAGGAUAUUUUUAUAUGGGUUACAAUUAUAUAAACACAUGUUUAUUUCUUCCACAUAUUACCAACUUCAGUGCACAGCACGAACCACGCACAAAAUGUUAAACAACUCCACAAUAUUUCUUCCUCUACUGAUGGCUCAAUGCCAGAGGUUAUGUAAACCUUGCAAUACAUAUGCAUUUAAUAAUUUCCUGAUGUUGUUCUUUGUGGUGACUGUCACUGCUGUGGACAAAUAUUAAUGAAUUUGUCUUUUUUGCUUUUCUGUGAAACAGCCAACUAACAUACUUACAUCAUUGGGCAUAAUUCACUAGAAGAAAG